rnacentral:lncRNA from 1 species
CGGGGUCAUAGAGGAGACCGUGAGGAGUUGUGUAACACCCUUGUUUAAGGAGUUGUUAGGUAGUGUACUGGGAGGAGGAGGGGGAUAUGGAGGAAGAGGGAUCAGUGGAUUGGUGAUGAAUGCAAUUCCAUUGUGUUUGGGCGGCGGUGGGGGCAACGGGGAAUGGAUGGAUGAAAGAUGGAGAAAGCUGCAGAUAAUGGAGUUGGAAGUUUAUUCGAAACGGGUGGAGCUGGUGCAGGAUGAGAUUAAGGCGGCUUUGGAGGAGCUCCGGUCGAUGAAUGGGUGAUUUUGGAUAAGC